GGCCAUUAAGACGCGACCUGACCGCACGGCCGAGAGCCCCCACCCCCACCCCCGGGGGCCUCUCGGAAGCGCGGGCCCUUUAAGCGCGCCAGACGCCGCGGGAGCCAAUUGGCGCCUAACGGGCGGUUGCCAUGGCGCCGGGGGCCGGGAGCCAAUAGGGGGCGCCGUGGCUUUUCGAAUGGCCGCGAGCAGGGCCGGCGUGCCAGGCGGGCGGGGCGAGGAGGGGGCGGUGAGAGCCGGCCCACGUGGCGCGGGGGCAGUGGGGGCGCCGAGCGGCUGCCAUGGAAACCGGGCGGGAAAAAGCCCCGCGAGGCGCCGGGGAGAGGGGCCGGGGGCGAUCCGAAACCGUCUGCGAGCGGGGAGGGGCGCGGCCGAAAACAAAAGGGAGCGAUCGGAGAGAGGCGGCCGGGGGGGGGGGAGCGGGGAGGAAAAACGAGGCGAGACGGAGGGGGAUGGGGGCUGAGGCAGCCCCGCUCGCGGGGCCCGGCGGACGGCGCGGAGCGGCCCCCCGGGGUCCGUCCGCAGAGCAGCCUGCGCCGCACCCCCCAGUCCGGGCGGGGAGCGCCCCCCGCGCCGCGCCCCCCCUCAUGCCUUCCGGCCCUUGAGCGCCUUGGGCUUCGCGGACUUCUUCACCUUCUUGCCCCCGGGGGACGCGGCUCCCUUCUUGGCGGCCUUCUUGGCUUUGUCCUUCCUGGCCGCCGCGCCGCCCGCUCCCUUCUUGUGCGAUUUCUUCUCGGCCUUCUGGCUCUUGCCCGCGGGUUUCUCCGCCCGCCGGGACGCGGCGGCCGCCGCCUUCCUGGGGGCUCUGUGCGCGCCUCCGCCCGCGGCCCCGUCCCCGCCGCCCUCCAGCUUCUUCCUGUUGAGCUUGAAGGAGCCGUUGGCGCCGGUGCCCUUGACCUGCAGCAGCGUGUCGUUCUGCACCAGCGCCUUGAUGGAGUACUUCAGGGCGAUCCUGGGACCAUCCAUUACGUGUUUUUCUUACACAGAGGAUAACCUCGCACCGAGUUCCUGUGUUACUAGCUUUCUUGGCAUGACCAACAGCUGUGUCAUGCAAUAGCCAUUCGUGAUGAGUUUCUGCUCCACUGUGGGAAUGCUGCAUUUGCUCAGAGUGAUGAGGCAAAAUCCCGCUGCCUUGAAGAACACAGGAAUCCUGGCACUCAGGAGAAUGGAUGUCUGCAGAGAGGACCUUGCAGUCUAGCCCGGGUGCUUGUCAUUUGGCACAGAUGACAGUUAGAUUGGCUGUGGUUGAAAAUAAAGAGACAGUGGUAAGAAAGCGGUAAAUGGAAGUACUGAGUGGUGGCUUUUGUGUUUUACCUGGCUGUACGGACAACACACGCUUCCCCAGCAGAAUAAACACAAGGCUCAGGAGACACCAGAGCACUGUGCAGUGAACAGCCCAGCACAGCUAAUUGCUGUAGCCUGUGAAGAAAAUGGUGUUUCUCAUCUGACCACUCAAUUGAUAAUAUAAAAACUCAAUGAAACCUUAGAAAAAUGGAUUGAUUUAAAGCACAAAGCCAAUUGUUCCCAAUCACUAACAUUGCUUAGAAGAAAAACGUUUGCUGCCUUUGAGGAACCUUCACAGAGAUUAGCAGAUCCAUCAUAUUAUAGCAAACAGACAUUUACCACUGCAGAAACCUCAACAUAUUUCAGGCACUCAUCCCGCUGAACCAGGAAGUAAGAAUGUCUCCAGCUUUGAUUUGUUCCCUUUGUGACCUCUAAUCUCUAUUUACUAGUCUGUCCCAUCCAAUUAGGGAUAAUAAAACACCAUCUCUUUGCAUGUCCUUGGACUGAAAUGGAUCCUCCCUUCCUCUUGCCAGUCCAUAAAACGGCACAGUGAGCAGAAAUAGCAUGGACACAAAAAUACUCCCUGUGUGCUGAUUUCAUGGGGGCCUGCAGAGAGGUCCAGGGAGCCAGCUUGCACAUUGGCUUAGCUGAUGUUUCUCAUAGUUUCUAAUGCACUCACCCACUUCCCCUGGACAUACAGCCACCCAACCUUGGACCAUCUGCGAUGUUAAAAGCUUGGGGGGAGCCUGCUCAUUCUUCUAGUAGUUACCCAGCACAUUUCAGCUCACCAGAGUCCUGCAGUCCCUCCUCCUCGUUGCUGGUCACAGCCCUGGGAGCCUUUGUUGCCUCUUGGGUCUGGAAAGAUAAAGCUCCAGCUGACUGUCCUGUCAUCCCUGUGUGAAGCUGUCCUCUCAAGAGCUUUGCAAUGUUUUUCUCUUGCCAUCUUUUGUUUUCCAGGCCAGCUUCCUCAAAAAAUCAUUAUAAUGUUAGAACUUGCUAAAAUAAAAUUUGAAAAAGGAACUAAGCUGCAGCAAACACACAGUAUCUUGUUUUUGUACUCCAAGCAAAACCAGACUCACCCUGCUUCUUCUGGCAUUUUGUUCAUUAGAAAUCUUCUGCUCUUACAUGACCACAUAAGCAUUUCCACUGGCAAAAGCACAGCUGUAGUCUUUCGCCUGCCCUCGUCUCUAAUCCUUGCCUGCAGUACAAAUACUGCUCUGGUAAUCUACUGAUGCUUUCUCCUUUGCAGUCCUUAGCUGAUUUCUAAAUAUUACAGCAGCAACACACGAAAGUAAAACUCUAGCUCUUGACAAGACUAGAUCACCAGAUACCAACUACAGGAAGCAACUGCAAUUAUGUUAUCUUAAUGCCAGACCUCUCUAAUCCGUGCUUCUUCAGAGGUGCAGAGGAUGCUGCAUACAGCACAAGGGAUUACUGGCA
rnacentral:lncRNA from 1 species